rnacentral:rRNA from 1 species
UACGUAGGGUGCAAGCGUUUAAUCGGAAUUACUGGGCGUAAAGCGUGCGCAGGCGGUUUUGUAAGUCUGUCGUGAAAUCCCCGGGCUCAACCUGGGAAUUGCGAUGGAGACUGCAAGGCUAGAAUCUGGCAGAGGGGGGGUAGAAUUCCACGUGUAGCAGUGAAAUGCGUAGAGAUGUGGAGGAACACCGAUGGCGAAGGCAGCCCCCCUGGGUCAAGAUUGACGCUCAUGCACGAAAGCGUGGGGGAGCAAACAGG